rnacentral:lncRNA from 1 species
UUUAAUUCUGUUAAGUUGUUUUUAGUUCUGUUAAGUUGUCAAAAGCUGUGAAAAUAAAAUAGUGAAUUGAGUUUAAAUUAACCAGAAAAGAUAUAAACAUAAUCUCUGGGAUUCAACUUGUAAGGAUGUUCCAAGAACCACUUAGUUGGAGAAGGAAAACUGUGCUGUUCAUUAACAAGUCCGGUGCUUUAUAAUAUAUUUAAAGGUGGUAAGGACGUGAAGAAAACAGGUUUGUAAAUGAUGUUGUACAUCAUGCAGAUAGCUCAGAAGAAGAAGCUGGAAUGUUUGACUGGAAAUAUAAACGAUGUUGUACAUAAUGCAGAUAGCUUAGGCGAAAAAGAGAUUGGUGAAAUGGAGAAUAAGACUAACUACGGUGAAAAAAUAAUGAAUAUCAAAAUGUGAACGGUACUUUGUUUGACAUCUACCUGUUUCUACAGACACAAUGCAGUCGCACUUAUAAAUGGGCUUGAUGUUUUUUUGGAUUGAAUAUGUUGUAUUGAUGGUUCUUUUUAACUUGUUAAAACUUUAAGUUAUU